AUUGAACGCUGGCGGCAUGCUUUACACAUGCAAGUCGAACGGUAACAGGGUGCUUGCACCGCUGACGAGUGGCGAACGGGUGAGUAAUGCGUCGGAACGUGCCGAGUAGUGGGGGAUAACGCAGCGAAAGUUGUGCUAAUACCGCAUACGUACUGAGGUAGAAAGUGGGGGACCUUCGGGCCUCACGCUAUUCGAGCGGCCGACGUCUGAUUGGCUAGUAGGUGAGGUAAAGGCUCACCGAGGCGACGAUCAGUAGCGGGUCUGAGAGGAUGAUCCGCCAUACUGGGAAUGGGACACGGCCCAGACUCCUACGGGAGGCAGCAGUGGGGAAUUUUGGACAAUGGGCGAAAGCCUGAUCCAGCCAUGCCGCGUGUCUGAAGAAGGCCUUCGGGUUGUAAAGGACUUUUGUCGGGGAGGAAAUCCCCAGCGUUAAUACCGCUGGGGGAUGACAGUACCUGAAGAAUAAGCACCGGCUAACUACGUGCCAGCCGCCGCCGUAAAAC
rnacentral:rRNA from 1 species